UACAGAGGGUGCAAGCGUUGUUCGGAAUUACUGGGCGUAAAGGGCUCGUAGGCGGCCAACUAAGUCAGACGUGAAAUCCCCGGGCUCAACCCGGGAACUGCGUCCGAUACUGGCAGGCUUGAAUCCGGGAGAGGGAUGCGGAAUUCCAGGUGUAGCGGUGAAAUGCGUAGAUAUCUGGAGGAACACCGGUGGCGAAGGCGGCAUCCUGGACCGGCAUUGACGCUGAGGCGCGAAAGCCAGGGGAGCAAACGGG
rnacentral:rRNA from 1 species